UCCCUGGAGGACUAGUGGUUAGGCCUCGGUGCUCUCACUGCCGUGGCGAGGGUUCAAUUCCUGGGCUGGGGAA